ensembl:lncRNA
UUUAUGUAAACAUUUAUUAAUGCAUCAAUGUUAAGACAAAUACAGUUAAGAAAUAAAUAUUUAUUUACACACGACAUCUGGAAUUAGAGUUGAAUUGGAGCACGGUAAACGAACUAACAUGGUAAAUACACUGAAGUACAAAACAAAAGAGAAAUCAUACAUUGCACAAAACAUGGUGGAAAAAGACGAGGUGUGUAUGAGGAGUGUAUGAGGUGUGUAUGUGGUGUGUAUGAGGUGUGUAUGAGGUGUGUAUGAGGUGUGUUGAGGUGUGUAUGAGUUGUGUAUGAGGUGUGUAUGAGGUGUGUAUGAGUUGUGUAUGUGGUGUGUACGAGGUGUAUACGAGGUGUGUAUGAGGUGUGUAUGAGGUGUGUAUGAGUUGUGUAUGAGGUGUGUAUGAGGUGUGUAUGAGGUGUGUAUGAGGUGUGUAUGUGGUGUGUAUGAGUUGUGUAUGAGGAGUGUAUGUGGUGUGUAUGAGGAGUGUAUGUGGUGUGUAUGAGGUGUGUAUGUGGUGUGUAUGAGGUGUGUAUGUGGUGUGUAUGAGGUGUGUAUGAGGUGUGUAUGAGGUGUGUAUGAGGAGUGUAUGAGGUGUGUAUGAGGACACAUGAGAGUUGAGUCUUGUGUUUUAAUGCCUUUAAAUUCCCAUCACUGUGGCUGUAGUCGUAGAUUUCAAUAUGAAGU